rfam:Acidobacteria bacterium DSM 100886, complete genome.
CCCGGUGGCCAUAGGGGAGGGGUCACACCCGUUCCCAUUCCGAACACGGAAGUUAAGCCCUCCACCGCCGAUGGUACUGCAGGCGCAGGUCUGUGGGAGAGUAGGUCACUGCCGGGG